rnacentral:lncRNA from 1 species
GAUUCUCUUUGUUCCGCAGCCAUUUCAGGCCCCGGACGGGAGGCAGCGCCGCUUCGGCAGAAAGGCCCGAGCGCCGGAGGCCUCUGGGAUGGUGUGGGACCGGGUAGGUUGGCGUGAGGGUGCGUGGCCAGGGCGGAGGCGGGUGGGAAGCGGCCCGAGCGAGCUCCGACCGGCCGCCGCGCCGAGGGGACCGCGCUCCGCUGUCCGCCCUCUCGGACGGGGCCUGGCCGUUUGGAGCCCGCCGGCGACGGCGCGGUUCUAAGCCCAACAGCUGCGGUCCCGGGCGCCCUGCGGGUCCCGGACAGGGCAGGCGGCGCCCCAGGAGCGGGAGGUCGGUCCUGGGGGUGGCGGGAGGCUGGCGGGCCGAGCCGCUGCGAUGCCCGUCAGGCCGCACGGUGCGAGGGCCCGAGGUCGCCGGUCUUUGUCCCGGAGCCUCGCACACUCCGGUUUCUGCAGCCAGCUGAUCCGUCUCCCCCGAGGGCCUGCUGGCCUCGCGACCUGUGAACAUAAUUUUAAUGUUUGUAACUACGGGUUUUGCUUAGGUUUGUGGGUUUUGCACGUCUGCCUCUGUCUGCCCACGCCACGGGGAAGGGCCGCCGAGGAACAGACCCGCCACCACAAUCAAACUGGCUUUAGAAAGGCUUUCUUCCUCUUAGAAAUGAUCUCGCGGGGCUUAAUUUUUUUUAAUCACGUGGGGUUUGCAGGGAUUGUUUACAGUUUCACUUUGUUACGCCAGUCGCGAAUCAGCUGUUAACUGUAGAAACGAAGUCAGAGGCUGUCCACUAGUUGGGGAGAUUGUAUUAAGAAGCUUAGUAUGUCCUGUUCGAAAAACAGUGAUGGCUUCAAUGAGUACGUAAGCAAUGCUUUUCCCCCCUAAAGAGAAGACGCUCCUUAAAUGCAAAAUAUUCGGUGAAAUCAGUAUUUGGAACUGACCUGUCUGUCUGCAAUGUGCACGCUCAGACGUGUUCAUCUUUAGGAUACCAAAAGUACCUGCUGGGUUUUGAGUUUCCCUAUCGAAACUUUCACUUAAGUGUGGUAAGAAAGUGUGCUAAUGAAGUAAGUGGAUGGUUUGUAGUUGGUGAGAAGUGAUCCUUGUUACUGUCCUGUAACCCUCCGUCCUGGUUCUAGAGAAUGGCUGGUCUAUGUGGAAAUUUGCAAGUGCAAAGGAAAAAUACUACUUUAGAGGUGGCCGAUUUAUUUUAAACUCCUUGACACUUGCCGUGUGUGGGUGAAUAGUGGUUUGGCAAUUCAGCUUUUACUUGAGUCCGUGUACACCUACUGCACUGUGAGUGGUUCGUCUUCCCUUUCUGAAGAGGGCCUCGGCCUUCCAUUAGCCAUGUGCUUUUCCAUCCUGCCCUGGCCAGAAAUUACUGAAUUCCUCCCACUGAAAGACCUAUAGAAAAUAUUUUUGUAUUUCUCCCUCCAUUCCUAAAAGCCUUUUUGCCAUUAUAUAAUAGCAACAGGAUAGAAUUUUAUCUUAAAAAAAAAAAAAGAUCCUAGCUGUGCCUUUUUGCCAUUAUAUAAUAGCAACAGGAUAGAAUUUUAUCU